AGAGUUUGAUCCUGGCUCAGGAUGAACGCUGGCGGCGUGCCUAACACAUGCAAGUCGAGCGAAGCGGUUUCGAUGAAGUUUUCGGAUGGAUUUGGAAUUGACUGAGCGGCGGACGGGUGAGUAACGCGUGGGUAACCUGCCUCAUACAGGGGGAUAACAGUUAGAAAUGACUGCUAAUACCGCAUAAGCGCACAGGACUGCAUGGUCCAGUGUGAAAAACUCCGGUGGUAUGAGAUGGACCCGCGUCUGAUUAGCUAGUUGGUGGGGUAACGGCCUACCAAGGCGACGAUCAGUAGCCGACCUGAGAGGGUGACCGG
rnacentral:rRNA from 1 species